rnacentral:lncRNA from 1 species
GGUGUUACUUCUAUUCACAUUUUCUCUUUCAUUAGGUCCUGCCUUUUCUGGGGCAGGGAAUAUACGGUGGCACUUGGUACACAGACACUCCAUUUUGCUGAAGGAAUUAAUAUUCUUCCAGCUAUGGAUAUUGCAUGGCAAACCUACUACACAAACAUUCAAAGCUUGCAUUUUAUGAAAGAAUUAUUUCGUUAGCAACCGCCUCCAAAUCCUGUCAUAUUGUCCCAAAUCAUAGAAACACGGUUUUUAAAGAAUGUACUGAUACAUGCAUUGUGGGUCAAGUGGAAUGAAGCCAUGAUGCAACUUAGGAGACAAGAGGCUUCCUUCCCUUGCUACCAUGGAAAGUCACAUCACAGAGGGGCUGACAGCUAUGCUGACCAAACCAUUAAGACUCAGACUUUGCCUUAACUCUCAGAUGUCAAAUCAAGUAAAUUUGGAACCAUCAUUAUUUUGAAACAGUGGUUAAACAAGAAAUUUGGUGCUGGCUUAUUGUUCUUUUUGCAUUCUUGAUAUAAUUAACAAGUAAGUGUUGGAUUGACCAAAAUUAUUUUUCAGGGAUCACUUUCAUGUACAUCAAGUUUCUCCUGCAAUACAAAUGGCACUCGACAAAUCAAAGAGACAGAAGUCUGCAAGGGAGGAAAUGGAGCCUGAGCAAGCUUAUCUACCUUGCCCAAGGUCACCCACGGCAGUCUGGUUCUCAAGACAAUGCCCUUGAUCAUGACCCACCUGACCAGUGUGAGUACCACCCUUUUCAACCGACAAAGCCCCAGGGGAAUGUUCUAACUUUCUUUUGCUAGGCAGGCAGUGAUGACCUUCAAACAUUUCUUCUACUAUCUUCCCACUCUUGUCAUCUCCUCAUAAGGAAACUGCGACAGUGCAGGAUUUUACAUAAUAUCCAACAUGUGGGGGGAUUCCCUGGUGGCUCAGACGGUAAAGCGUCUGCCCGCAAUGCGGGAGACCGGGGUUCGAUUCCUGGGUCGGGAAGAUCUGCUGGAGAAGGAAAUGGCAACCCACUCCAGCACUCUUGCCUAGAAAAUUCCAUGGAUGGAGGAACCUGGUGGGCUACAGUCCAUGGGGUUGCAAAGAGUCAGAAACGACUGAGCGACUUCACUAAACAUGUGAGAGCAAGAUCAACGUCCUCCAAUGUUUCAUGGAUUUUGGACAUGAUCAAGUUCUGCCCGCAGCUACAGUAUGCCCACAUUAUUUUUUAAACCAGCUAAAUCAAAGAAGAGGAGGUUGGGGCAGGGAAAAAGAAGAAAAAGAAUGUAGACUUAUUACUCUUUAAAAUUGCUAACACUCUUGGGCUUUACAGUUUAUAAUCCAAUA